rnacentral:rRNA from 1 species
AAUAGAUACCCUGGUAGUCCACGCCGUAAACGAUGAGUGCUAAGUGUUAGGGGGUUUCCACCCCUUAGUGCUGCAGCUAACGCAUUAAGCACUCCGCCUGGGGAGUACGGUCGCAAGACUGAAACUCAAAGGAAUUGACGGGGGCCCGCACAAGCGGUGGAGCAUGUGGUUUAAUUCGAAGCAACGCGAAGAACCUUACCAGGUCUUGACAUCCCGAUGACCGCUCUAGAGAUAGAGCUUUCCCUUCGGGGACAGCGGUGACAGGUGGUGCAUGGUUGUCGUCAGCUCGUGUCGUGAGAUGUUGGGUUAAGUCCCGCAACGAGCGCAACCCUUGUUCUUAGUUGCCAUCAUUCAGUUGGGCACUCUAAGGAGACUGCCGCAGACAAUGCGGAGGAAGGUGGGGAUGACGUCAAAUCAUCAUGCCCCUUAUGACCUGGGCUACACACGUGCUACAAUGGACGGUACAAACGGUUGCGAAGUCGCGAGACGGAGCUAAUCCGAGAAAACCGUUCUCAGUUCGGAUUGCAGGC